GGAGAGAUGCCAGAGUGGACGAUUGGGGCGGUCUCGAAAACCGUUGUAACUUGUAAAAGUUACCGUGGGUUCGAAUCCCACUCUCUCCG
rnacentral:tRNA from 1 species